UGUUUCAUUUUGACACUGCAUGUUUUUGAUAUGUGUUUUUUAUCAAAUUAAUGUGAUAAAAAACACAUAUCAAAAAAAUGCAGUGUCAAAAUGAAAUG
rnacentral:miRNA from 1 species